AUUGAACGCCGGCGGCAGGCCUAACACAUGCAAGUCGAGCGGAUGAAGGGAGCUUGCUCCUGGAUUCAGCGGCGGACGGGUGAGUAAUGCCUAGGAAUCUGCCUGGUAGUGGGGGAUAACGUCCGGAAACGGGCGCUAAUACCGCAUACGUCCUGAGGGAGAAAGUGGGGGAUCUUCGGACCUCACGCUAUCAGAUGAGCCUAGGUCGGAUUAGCUAGUUGGUGGGGUAAAGGCCUACCAAGGCGACGAUCCGUAACUGGUCUGAGAGGAUGAUCAGUCACACUGGAACUGAGACACGGUCCAGACUCCUACGGGAGGCAGCAGUGGGGAAUAUUGGACAAUGGGCGAAAGCCUGAUCCAGCCAUGCCGCGUGUGUGAAGAAGGUCUUCGGAUUGUAAAGCACUUUAAGCUGGGAGGAAGGGCAGUAAGUUAAUACCUUGCUGUUUUGACGUUACCAACAGAAUAAGCACCGGCUAACUUCGUG
rnacentral:rRNA from 1 species